UGGCGGACGGGUGAGUAAUGUCUGGGAAACUGCCUGAUGGAGGGGGGAUAACUACUGGAAACGGUAGCUAAUACCGCAUAACGUCGCAAGACCAAAGAGGGGGACCUUCGGGCCUCUUGCCAUCGGAUGUGCCCAGAUGGGAUUAGCUAGUAGGUGGGGUAACGGCUCACCUAGGCGACGAUCCCUAGCUGGUCUGAGAGGAUGACCAGCCACACUGGAACUGAGACACGGCCCAGACUCCUAACGGGAGGCAGCAUG
rnacentral:rRNA from 1 species